rnacentral:rRNA from 1 species
AAUCGUAACAAGGUCUCCGUUGGUGAACCAGCGGAGGGAUCAUUACCGAGUUUACAACUCCCAAACCCCUGUGAACAUACCACUUGUUGCCUCGGCGGAUCAGCCCGCUCCCGGUAAAACGGGACGGCCCGCCAGAGGACCCCUAAACUCUGUUUCUAUAUGUAACUUCUGAGUAAAACUAUAAAUAAAUCAAAACUUUCAACAACGGAUCUCUUGGUUCUGGCAUCGAUGAAGAACGCAGCAAAAUGCGAUAAGUAAUGUGAAUUGCAGAAUUCAGUGAAUCAUCGAAUCUUUGAACGCACAUUGCGCCCGCCAGUAUUCUGGCGGGCAUGCCUGUUCGAGCGUCAUUUCAACCCUCAAGCACAGCUUGGUGUUGGGACUCGCGUUAAUUCGCGUUCCCCAAAUUGAUUGGCGGUCACGUCGAGCUUCCAUAGCGUAGUAGUAAAACCCUCGUUACUGGUAAUCGUCGCGGCCACGCCGUUAAACCCCAACUUCUGAAUGUUGACCUCGGAUCAGGUAGGAAUACCCGCUGAACUUAAGCAUAUCAAUAAGCCGGAGGAA